rnacentral:rRNA from 1 species
AUGCGCGGGGAGCGGCUGGGGAGCUGGGUGGUGUCCUACACCGGGAUGUCGGCCGACAACAUCAAGGGCCUGCUGCUCGCGGUCUCCUCCAGCCUCUUCAUCGGGGCCAGCUUCAUCGUCAAGAAGAAGGGCCUCAAGAAGGCCGGCGCCUCCGGCGUCCGCGCAGGUGUUGGUGGCUACUCUUACCUGCUUGAGCCACUGUGGUGGAUAGGACUGAUAACAAUGGUUGUUGGGGAAAUCGCUAACUUUGCUGCGUACGCUUUUGCCCCUGCUAUCUUGGUCACUCCACUUGGCGCACUUAGCAUAAUUAUUAGUGCUGUUCUUGCACGUAUCAUUUUGCGGGAGAAGCUGCACAUGUUUGGUGUACUCGGGUGUAUUCUUUGUGUUGUGGGUUCGACAACAAUUGUGCUACAUGCCCCUGCGGAACGUGAAAUUGAGUCUGUGGCAGAAGUAUGGGAUCUUGCUACCGAACCAGGAUUUCUACUUUAUGCAGCCAUUGUGCUCACAGCAGCUUUCGUGCUCAUAUUCCAUUUUGUCCCACAGUAUGGUCAGACACAUAUUAUGGUGUAUAUUGGUAUCUGUUCUCUUUUUGGGUCUCUGUCGGUCAUGAGUGUCAAAGCUCUUGGGAUAGCCUUGAAGCUGACGUUUUCAGGGAUGAAUCAGCUAGUCUAUCCACAAACAUGGUUCUUCACACUUGUUGUGGUUGCAUGCAUAGUAACACAGAUGAACUAUCUGAACAAGGCCCUUGACACAUUCAAUACUGCAGUUGUUUCGCCCAUUUAUUAUACAAUGUUUACUUCGUUGACCAUUUUGGCUAGUGUAAUAAUGUUCAAGGACUGGGAUCGUCAAAAUCCGACUCAAAUUGUCACGGAAAUGUGUGGUUUUGUUACUAUCCUUUCUGGGACGUUUCUGCUUCACAAGACAAAAGACAUGGUGGAUGGUCUCCAACAAAAUUUACCUAUCCGAAUUCCGAAACACGCGGACGAGGAUGCGUAUGAAUCUGAAGGAAUUCCUCUCAGGUCUGCUGCUGAUGGGAUUCCUCUCAGGUCACCCCGGGGCGCCGAAGGAAUUCCUCUCAGGUCUGCCGCGGAUGGCAUUCCGCUCAGGUCAUCAUCGAGGGGCGCAGAAUCGUUCCGCUCGACAUCAUGA